UCUGGUGACCAGCAGCGGACAAAUAAAACUCGCUGACUUCGGCCUUGCCCGCAUCUAUAGUUUCCAGAUGGCUCUAACCUCAGUGGUCGUCACGCUGUGGUACAGAGCACCCGAAGUCUUGCUCCAGUCCAGCUACGCCACCCCCGUGGAUCUCUGGAGUGUUGGCUGCAUAUUUGCAGAAAUGUUUCGUAGAAAGUAAGAAAUACAUUUUGUUUCACUCUGCUUUCCUUGAAAAGAGACUGUGGAUCUUUGUGAAUUUGAGUGGCAGCAUGGCAUUUCUAUCAUUAGGGGUCAUGAUGGCCAGAUCCAUCUACCCCAGGCUACCACUUGCAAGCCUGUCCUGAAACCGCCUUCUCAGUGCUUACAGUGUUGUUUUAUAUGACUGU
rnacentral:lncRNA from 1 species